UACGUAGGGUGCGAGCGUUAAUCGGAAUUACUGGGCGUAAAGCGUGCGCAGGCGGUUCGUUGUGUCGGUGGUGAAAGCCCCGGGCUUAACCUGGGAAUGGCCAUGGAAACUGGCGAACUGGAGUGUGGCAGAGGGGGGUGGAAUUCCGCGUGUAGCAGUGAAAUGCGUAGAGAUGCGGAGGAACACCGAUGGCGAAGGCAGCCCCCUGGGCUAGCACUGACGCUCAGGCACGAAAGCGUGAGGAGCAAACAGG
rnacentral:rRNA from 1 species